UUCAGUAACAUUAAGUAUUCAUCCAGUAGGAUAGUGGAAUCUUCGUUGGCGACGUGUGCAGCACAAAAGGAGAAAUAGAAAACCGAUAGAAGAAUGAUAAGGUUAUACCAGUCAAACGACCAAACGUCGGCUCGGCAACUACGUUUACCCUGAGAGGGAAAA